rnacentral:rRNA from 1 species
UACGUAGGGUGCGAGCGUUGUCCGGAAUUAUUGGGCGUAAAGGGCUCGUAGGCGGUCUGUCACGUCGGGAGUGAAAACUCGGGGCUUAACCCCGAGCCUGCUUCCGAUACGGGCAGACUAGAGGUAUGCAGGGGAGAACGGAAUUCCUGGUGUAGCGGUGAAAUGCGCAGAUAUCAGGAGGAACACCGGUGGCGAAGGCGGUUCUCUGGGCAUUACCUGACGCUGAAGCACGAAGGCCAGGGGAGCAAACGGG